AUCUUAUCAAGAGUGGGGGAGGGACAAGCCCUGUGAACCCACGGCAACCGGUCCCGAAAGGGAUGUAUGGUGCCAACUCUUGCGGGGAAAGUCGCCCCGACAGAUGAGAC
rfam:Deltaproteobacteria bacterium GWD2_55_8 gwd2_scaffold_1450, whole genome shotgun sequence.